rnacentral:rRNA from 1 species
AUUGAACGCUGGCGGCAGGCCUAACACAUGCAAGUCGAGCGGAGCGGCGGACGGGUGAGUAAUGCCUCGGAAUAUGCCUGGUAGUGGUGGAUAACGUCCGGAAACGGGCGCUAAUACCGCCUACUAUCAGAUUAGCUUAGAUCGGAUUUUCUAGUUGGUGGGGUAAAGGCCUAACAAGGCGAAGAUCCGUCACUGGUCUGAGGGGAUGAUCAGUCACACUGGAACUGGGAAAGGGCCCGGACGCCUACGGGAGGCAGCAGUGGGGAAUAUUGGACAAGGGGCGAAAUCCUGAGCCAGCCAUGCCGCGUGUGUGAAGAAGGUCUUCGGAUUGUAAAGCACGUUAAGUUGGGAGGCGUUACCAACAGAAUAAGCACCGGCUAACUUCGUGCCAGCAGCCGCGGUAAUAC